UGGCUCAGAACGAACGCUGGCGGCAGGCUUAACACAUGCAAGUCGAACGAGAUCUUCGGAUCUAGUGGCGGACGGGUGAGUAACGCGUGGGAACAUGCCCUUCACUACGGAAUAGUCCCGGGAAACUGGGUUUAAUACCGUAUACGCCCUUCGGGGGAAAGAAUUUCGGUGAAGGAUUGGCCCGCGUUAGAUUAGGUAGUUGGUGGGGUAAUGGCCUACCAAGCCUACGAUCUAUAGCUGGUUUUAGAGGAUGAUCAGCCACACUGGGACUGAGACACGGCCCAGACUCCUACGGGAGGCAGCAGUGGGGAAUCUUAGACAAUGGGCGAAAGCCUGAUCUAGCCAUGCCGCGUGAGUGACGAAGGCCCUAGGGUCGUAAAGCUCUUUCGCCAGGGAUGAUAAUGACAGUACCUGGUAAAGAAACCCCGGCUAACUCCGUGCCAGCAGCCGCGGUAAUACGGAGGGGGUUAGCGUUGUUCGGAAUUACUGGGCGUAAAGCGCGCGUAGGCGGAUUGGAAAGUUGGGGGUGAAAUCCCAGGGCUCAACCCUGGAACUGCCUCCAAAACUACUAGUCUAGAGUUCGAGAGAGGUGAGUGGAACUCCGAGUGUAGAGGUGAAAUUCGUAGAUAUUCGGAAGAACACCAGUGGCGAAGGCGGUCAUCACUGGCUCGAUACUGAC
rnacentral:rRNA from 1 species